rnacentral:rRNA from 1 species
GACGAACGCUGGCGGCGUGCUUAACACAUGCAAGUCGAACGGAAAGGCCCUGCUUUUGUGGGGUGCUCGAGUGGCGAACGGGUGAGUAACACGUGAGUAACCUGCCCUUGACUUUGGGAUAACUUCAGGAAACUGGGGCUAAUACCGGAUAGGAGCUCCUGCUGCAUGGUGGGGGUUGGAAAGUUUCGGCGGUUGGGGUUGGACUCGCGGCUUAUCAGCUUGUUGGUGGGGUAGUGGCUUACCAAGGCUUUGACGGGUAGCCGGCCUGAGAGGGUGACCGGCCACAUUGGGACUGAGAUACGGCCCAGACUCCUACGGGAGGCAGCAGUGGGGAAUAUUGCACAAUGGGCGGAAGCCUGAUGCAGCAACGCCGCGUGCGAGAUGACGGCCUUCGGGUUGUAAACCGCUUUCGCCUGUGACGAAGCGUGAGUGACGGUAAUGGGUAAAGAAGCACCGGCUAACUACGUG